UACGUAGGGGGCUAGCGUUAUCCGGAAUUAUUGGGCGUAAAGAGCGCGCAGGUGGUUGAUUAAGUCUGAUGUGAAAGGCUACGGCUCAACCGUAGUAAGCCUUUGAAACUGGGAAACUUGAGUGCAGGAGAGGAGAGUGGAAUUCCUAGUGUAGCGGUGAAAUGCGUAGAUAUUAGGAGGAACACCAGUUGCGAAGGCGGCUCUCUGGACUGUAACUGACACUGAGGCACGAAAGCGUGGGGAGCAAACAGGAUUAGAUACCCCUGUA
rnacentral:rRNA from 1 species